CCGACGGCGAAGUGCCCUCAAGGCGUGAGGGAGAGCUCCCGGCUUAGGGGAUAGGGGAGCUGCGCUUCUGCCGUCGUGUGCGCGCGGCUGGCUCGGAGCGUGAGGGCUGAAGUGCAGAGAAAGGAGAUCCUGUAAGAGAAGACUUUGGAGGUGGGGCACAAAAGUUCUGCAGCUCUAGUAAUGUAGAGAUGUGCUGAUACAACCCUGCUGUAGGGUUGGGAAGAAGGAGCGGCAAGCUAAGGGCAAACAAAGAGAUGUCAACAAAAGGAUUGCUGAGAAGAGAGCAUCAGUUGAGGGAAGUCAGUCGUAGCUGUUAACAUUUAAAAAGCCCUUUCAAGGACUAACAAAAUAAAGGAUAGAGGUGUCCUCAUCCUGAAAUAGCUUUUAUAUUUCUGAACCUGUUAUAAAAGCUUUUCUUAGAAGCUUUCUUUCUAAAAACAAAAUAGUUUCUAUCGUAAACAAGACAGGCAGCACAUCAAUACAAAGACUAUCUUCACUUACUUUUAUUUCUGGGCUAGGAGACACCAUCAUUCAGUACCACAGGGAACGAAGUAAGAAUUGUUGCCUCAGCUUAACAAAUGAAGAAAACAAAGAAUGGAGAAACGUUGUCCUUGAACCCAGCUGUGUGUAGGCUUCCAGUAUUGUUGCAUAUAUUAGGCUUUGUUCUCAAUAGAAAGAUAAAAAAAUCCCCAUUUUUUAGCAAGUUAAAAGAUAAGUCAGGACAGCUCUCUAUAGGCACAGUCCUAGGGGAGCAAGGAGCCAGGUAGCUUCUAUAUCGGGGUAGCCAGUCAAGGCCAGGCAUCUCUCUUACUUGCUGUGAAUGUGAACCAGCUACAUCAAAAUAGGAAAGCAGAAAGCUUUCCUUCCACUGAGAUAUUACAUCAUAUUAGACUGUCUGGGCUUCUUCAUUUACCGCUGUACCCAAUACUGUACCCGGGUACAAAUCUUUUUCUAUUGCAAUGAAGAUACAGCUUUAUAUCUCUCUCUUCUUUCCUUCUUUUCCUUUUGUGCUUGAUAACACAUAAAAGCACCAAUAAAGACAAGACAUUUCACAGAAAGUAUUUGCCAAAUUCAGUUAUUCUACCAGGAGCCUGAAUGGUGAAACAAAACCUUCAGCGUUAUCAAAAUGAAUUGUGUUUGUUUAGACUGCAAAUUCAGUAGUUCCUCUAUCUUCUGCUUCAUUUAUCUGUAGUAAAGCAGAAUAUUUUACCCAUGAGGUGAAACACCUCAUGGAAAUCUAACAGUUCCAUCUGGUUUUCUUAGGGAAUUGAAAUUAUUGGGUGAUUUGAAAACGGUACGGACAAACCUGUAUACAUUAUGGUGACAAAUUCUUCUCUGAAAAAACUUGGACAGAAUCAACACUGUCCUUUUUUUGAGUCAUAUAACACUGUGAAAGCCAGGCCUCUGAAGUCAGUUGAAAGUUGUCCGUGUAUAGAAUUUGUGUUUUCUUAUAACGACUCCAUGUUUCUAAUACCUUUGAAUCUUUUUCUGUUAUGAGCAAAGAGAAAUGGGAAGGAAAUGUAAUUGGAAUGUGGAGAACAUGGCUCUGCAUGUUCUCCUUCCCACUGUUGUGUGACUGUAAUAGAUGUUCCUCCUUAAGGGCUUCAGCAGCAUUUGUGUAAGUGGUCAGUUGAGAAGUAUAAGACAUUACACCAGGUAUCUUGAUACUGAUGCUUUUAAUUCAAUUCAAAAUGAUCUGGAAAAGAUUUUGGCGUCAAAAAUAAACAAAAAGAAGGUGCAUUACCAUUGUGAUGUGUGUGUAAGUCCCAAAUCAGAGUCCUCUCUGAAAUGCUUGACUUUCAUGCUCAGUGGAAUACAGAGAACUUUCACGUGCAUCUGAUGUCCAAAUAAGCCUUGAAGACUGACACAAAUCUGCAUUUCCACAGUAGGGCUGUGUCACAGUACUGUCAACUGCCACUGCAUUACAAACAUUUUUCCUUCUACAAAAACACCUACGUUAAUUUAUGUCCUGACAGUCUGUGCUCCACGUAUGUGAUCAUUCACUACCCCUCCUACUUAUAGGAACCUGUAAGAUGAAUUAAGCCCACUGCAGCCAGUUUGUAUGUGUUCUUGUGACUUGUGUUACUUAACAUGCAGACAGCAUGUCCCCUUGGUUUUUGCUGCUGUAAGAUCUUUACUAUACAAAAGGAUGUAUGAAUAGAUAUUUGCUCUUCUACUUUGUCCCUGUGCUGGGCCAUGGAUUAUUAAUUCAGUAUCAGUCACAGCCUAUUGGCUUUGAGUGACUGCAAUAAAUACAAAAAUAAAAGGGAAAUUCAUUACCCGCUUUUACCUGUUUAACGCCAACAUCUUAUUUCUUGCAUCGGGUCUUUAAAAUUAAUGUAGUGAACUUUUCAAGCUGUACACAGUAUUAAUAAACUAUAAACUCUCUGCCAACUUUGCCAAGAACCUACUGAGCAUUCUGCCUACGCUGCGGUUGACUUUAACAUUUUGGUAUGCUUUCUCUUAUAGUAAACAACAUAAAGUUGCAGGUGCAGUACUGCAGCAACAUAUGUACAUUUUGACAUUAAGGAUAGGAAGUUGAGCUCAAGCAUCAGGGUAUGUUUAAUUGUCUGAAAUAAUAAAUUUUAAAGAAAUUAACCUGGAUGUGAAAGAUCACGUCCUUUUUUAUAUCAUGGUAUUUAUGAUAGGUCUGAGAUCGUAAUGGUAUCCUGCCUAGAAAGCUUUAUGUUAGGAUGAGUGGUUAUGGCCCACAGGUACAAAGUACCAGGAAGAAAGAUAGGCUGUUCUGCUGACUUUAGGUCUUUGUUUUCCCAGGGGGUGUACCAGGUGCCUUUUUCUGUUUUUAAAUAAGACAUUAUUUAUAAAGAAUUUGGGAUCCAAAGUGGGAAAGCUUAGUAAAAAUGUCACAUAUUAUGCUGUUAAUUUACUAGAAGUUAGUUUGGUACAGAAGACUGAGAUGUUUACUUUGCAUGGAAAGCUGAGAUGGAAAAAAAACAAUAAAAAAUAAGGUUGUAUGCUGUCCCUAACCAGCUUAAUGAGUGAACAUUCCUGUAUGUGCCAUUGCCAGAACUGGUAUGUAUAUCACAUAAAAUCAUGUCUAUCAGCAACAUAGAAUCAUGUAGGUUGGAAGGGACGCCAGGGCUUAUCUGGUCCUACCUCCUGCUUGGUGCAGAUCCCAUUAGAGCACAGGGCUGCAUCCAGUUGGUUUCCAGUAUCUCCAAGGAUGGUAAUACUGCACUGUUUCUUGGCAACCUAGCCCAGAGUUUGACAUCUUCGUGGCAGUUUUUCCUUAUGUAGAAUUACAACUUCCUGUAAUGUAACUUGUAUUCAUUGCCACUUGUCAUUUCAUGGUGUGCCUCUGUGAGGAUCCUUGUUUCACCUUCCUCACUCCCUCUCACUAAGCAGCUGCAGGCAGCAAUAAGCUCUCCCCUCUGCCUGCUGUUUUCCAGGCUGUGCACACCAGCUCUCAGCUUCUUCUUACACUUCUUGCUGAUUGCCUUGGUGCCUCUGCUGACCUGCUUUACUCUUUCAGUGUCUUUCUUGCACUGGGGAGAUCAGAGCUGGAGGCGCUGCUCCUGAUGCAGGCUCACAGGUGCCAGAAAGAUGGGAAUUAUGACGUCUCUCAGUCUGCUGUCAGUGCUUCCGUUGGUACAGCCCAGG